rnacentral:lncRNA from 1 species
UAUUCAUGUUGUUUCAAACGAAAACCUUAGAAUUUGGCUACUCAUGAAUCUGGUGAUGAUGUUUAAAGUAUCACACGAAUUACUGGAAUUUAUAUUAUAAAUUUUAACUAUCUUAGUUUCUUGUCUUUGUCGAAAUAUUGUAUGGUUGAAGUAAAGUUGGAGAUAAUUCUUAAAACAUAUUGCUAACCAGUAGAAACAAUUUCCACUUUCAAAAGUUCAAAUGUAUAUCACAAUAGAAUAUAAACAAAAUUAUUCCACCGUCUUGUCUAAAUUCCAAGUUGUUAAAGUAGCAAAUGAGAUUCAAAAGAGCCACAUGAAAAAGAAACAUCCCUUUACGAAAACACUACACACACAUGCACAUGCUAUUCCCCUAUC